GACGAACGCUGGCGGCGUGCUUAACACAUGCGAGUCGAACGGAAAGGCCCUGCUUUUGUGGGGUGCUCGAGUGGCGAACGGGUGAGUGACACGUGAGUAACCUGCCCUUGACUUUGGGAUAACUUCAGGAAACUGGGGCUAAUACCGGAUAGGAGCUCCUGCUGCAUGGUGGGGGUUGGAAAGUUUCGGCGGUUGGGGAUGGACUCGCGGCUUAUCAGCUUGUUGGUGGGGUAGUGGCUUACCAAGGCUUUGACGGGUAGCCGGCCUGAGAGGGUGACCGGCCACAUUGGGACUGAGAUACGGCCCAGACUCCUACGGGAGGCAGCAGUGGGGAAUAUUGCACAAUGGGCGGAAGCCUGAUGCAGCAACGCCGCGUGCGGGAUGACGGCCUUCGGGUUGUAAACCGCUUUCGCCUGUGACGAAGCGUGAGUGACGGUAAUGGGUAAAGAAGCACCGGCUAACUACGUG
rnacentral:rRNA from 1 species